rnacentral:lncRNA from 1 species
CUGUAUUUAUCUUUCACUUUCUAUUUUCAAGCCAUCUUGACACCAUUAGAUUCUCAUAGGUUACUAUCCUCGGUUCCUAUUUAAGCUUGUUAUUAUUCUGAGUUAAUCACUUCUAAUUACGCUUAAACCCACUCCUUCAUUAAGUUAUAUAGUUUAGGAUCCUUACUAUUACCUUUCUCUUUAACAACCUUCUUAAACUCUUUAUUAUUUUCUAGGACGUUUUAAGGCUCAUUGAACAGAUUAUGCUGAACUUUCACGAAAAACGCAACAUGACCCAGGUACGGUAAUUUCACCAUAACUCAAGUUGUAGAGGUCUGGUUGAAGUGAAACCAAAUCCAUUGGAAAGCUAACAGACAUACCUAAAACUUUCAUGUUUUGACCGAAA